UACGGAAGGCAGCAGUGGGGAAUAUUGCACAAUGGGCGAAAGCCUGAUGCAGCUAUGCCGCGUGUAUGAAGAAGGCCUUAGGGUUGUAAAGUACUUUCAUCGGGGAGGAAAAAACAAAACUAAUAAUUUUAUUUCUUGACGUUACCCGAAAAAGAAGCACCGGCUAACUCCGUGCCAGCAGCCGCGGUAAUACGGAGGGUGCUAGCGUUAAUCAGAAUUACUGGGCGUAAAGAGCACGUAGGUGGUUUUUUUAAGUCAGAUGUGAAAUCCCUGGGCUUAACCUGGAACUGCAUUUUGAAACUGAAAUACUAGAGUAUCGUAGAGGGAGGUAGAAUUCUAGGUGUAGCGGUGAAAUGCGUAGAUAUCUGGAGGAAUACCUGUGGCGAAAGUGGCCUCCUAAACGAAUACUGACACUGAGGUGCGAAAGCGUGGGGAGCAAACAGGGAUAGAUACC
rnacentral:rRNA from 1 species